rnacentral:rRNA from 1 species
CCACACUGGGACUGAGACACGGCCCAGACUCCUACGGGAGGCAGCAGUGGGGAAUCUUGCGCAAUGGGCGAAAGCCUGACGCAGCAACGCCGCGUGGGGGAUGAAGGCUCUCGGGUUGUAAACCCCUUUCAGCAGGGACGAAUUUGACGGUACCAGCAGAAGAAGCCCCGGCCAACUACGUGCCAGCAGCCGCGGUAACACGUAGGGGGCAAGCGUUGUCCGGAUUUAUUGGGCGUAAAGAGCUCGUAGGCGGCUCAGUAAGUCGGGUGUGAAACCUCCAGGCUCAACCUGGAGACGCCACCUGAUACUGCUGUGGCUAGAGUCCGGUAGGGGAGCGUGGAAUUCCUGGUGUAGCGGUGAAAUGCGCAGAUAUCAGGAGGAACACCAGCGGCGAAGGCGGCGCUCUGGGCCGGAACUGACGCUGAGGAGCGAAAGCGUGGGUAGCAAACAGGAUUAGAUAC